UGGUGUUACAUGUAAACAAUAGGAAAUCAAAAAAGUUUUGGGAUGAGGAAGACAUGAAGAAAGCAAUUCAGUAUCCCAUACACAUAAAAGAUCAGAGACAGAGUCACUUUUGCUCAUUAUGACAAUUCUGAGUGCCCAACACAGUGCCUUGCAGAUAGCAGGCAUUUUACAAAUUAAUUUACAGAUGAAUGUUCUGAGAUGAAAAUCUGGCAGACAUCUAAGCUCUUCACCCACCAAGUGUAUUAGAAUUUCUGGGCUUGGGACCCAACAUCUUGACUUUUGACAAGCAUUCCGUGGCGAUUCUCCUGGCCAUCAACGUUUGAGAACCCAAAUGUAUGAGACAAUAACGACCUGCAGUGGAGACAAAGGAAGAUUCUGAGCCAUCUGCAGAUAUAAUACACAGAGCUGUUUCUGUGGUGACAGCAGACAUAACCCCAACUGGGGCAUGAUGUCAUCAACUUUAGGGUGAACAGAGAAUUGGCCAAGGCUGAAUUCAGUAACACCUCUACUAUCCAGUCAGUCUCCACAGUUAGCUGGCUUUGAAGAAGCAAGCUCCCAGGAAUCAAGGAGCAGCAAGGAAAUGAAUUCAGACACCAAUGGAGGAAGCCUGGAAGCAAAUUCUCUCCCAGUCGAACCUAGGAGGCUCACCUAGACUGCAGCCUGGUGACAGACCCUGAUGAAGAGGAACCAGCUAAGCUGCCCAGACUCCUGACCCACAGAAGCCGUGAAGUCAUAAACGUGUGCACCGUUUUAUGUCCAUAAGUUUUUGGUAAUAUACAAGGCAACCACAAAAACUGAUAGAGCAGGUCUAGCUGGGGGACUGAGAGAAACCCACUUGGAACAGCACUACUAGGCAUGUGACACCACCGUUUGCUGCCUGCCCGUUUGGGCUCAGCUUUCAAGUUGCUCUGGUCCCCAUCAGACUACAAUCUCCUUAUAACACAAAGCAUUAUACUCCAUGGCUCCCAGGACAGUCCUCAAUAAAUACCUGAGUGUUGGCUGUC